rnacentral:rRNA from 1 species
CAAGCAAGACUACCCGCUGAACUUAAGCAUAUUAGUAAGCGGAGGAAAAGAAACUAACU